rnacentral:rRNA from 1 species
AACGAACGCUGGCGGCAUGCCUAACACAUGCAAGUCGAACGAGACCUUCGGGUCUAGUGGCGCACGGGUGCGUAACGCGUGGGAACCUGCCCUUAGGUUCGGAAUAACUCCCCGAAAGGGGUGCUAAUACCGGAUAAUGUCUUCGGACCAAAGAUUUAUCGCCUUUGGAUGGGCCCGCGUUGGAUUAGCUAGUUGGUAGGGUAAAAGCCUACCAAGGCGACGAUCCAUAGCUGGUCUGAGAGGAUGCUCAGCCACACUGGGACUGAGACACGGCCCAGACUCCGACGGGAGGCAGCAGUGGGGAAUAUUGGACAAUGGGCGAAAGCCUGAUCCAGCAAUGCCGCGUGAGUGAUGAAGGCCUUAGGGUUGUAAAGCUCUUUUACCCGGGAUGAUAAUGACAGUACCGGGAGAAUAAGCUCCGGCUAACUCCGUG